UCAUCUGAAUAUCAAUCAAUGUAUUAUCUAUAACAAGCAAACAUUCCUGUAAACGUAUAUCGAUGUGAUAAUUAUUAUGUUGAAAAAGUCAUUAAAUUAUAUAUCCUUAUAUGCCUUCAUCAUAUAAGUUUACUACAUUUAGGGGCAUACAGCAAAAAUGGCAAUUUACCCUCUGCUUCUGUAUGUUCAUAUCCCCAUUUUGCUCUAUGCCUUCGAUAUUUACAUUCUUCAUUGAGAUAAAUUUAGAUAAUUAUGUAAUAUAUACACUACAAAACAACUUCAUAUGUCAUAAACCAUUUUAACAAAAAGUGUUUACAUCCAUCGUUUAAAUAUUUUGAGCGGUGUAAAACAAACGUAUCUAAUGCUUCAUCAGUUGUAACGUGAGAGGUUUUCUUUUGUCAUGCUGUGUAUUGUGCUUUAUUUUUCAAAUACUUCGAUGUUUUUGCUAUUAGCAGGUACGAUAAUGACGGAUUUUUAAUUGUAGAUGUGCUUGGCUUUGCUUUUGGUCGGAAUAGACCUAUUUCUCACAGGGGAAGUUAUAGACUCACAGUGUCAAGUGAACCGUUCAUGCUGUGUUAAUCAAUUAUGUGGACGUAUAGAGAAACUUCACUACUUCGGUAAUAAUAGUUGUCUAAAGGGAUGUAUAGAUGGCUAUAAAGGUGCCCGUUGUUAUGUCAAAUGUGCAGAAUAUUGCAAAGCUUGUUCUUAUCUCAAUUCCAACAACUGCACAAAAUGCCCUGAAGGUUUUUAUAAUGGAAAGUACAAAAAUUGUUCCGAAAACUGUGCUUCUAACUGUAAAGCAUGUGGAAAAGGCCCCGACCUCUGUACAAAAUGUCACGAGGGUUUUUAUAAUGGGAAGUAUAAAAAUUGUUCCGAAGAAUGUCCUGCAGGUUGUAAAGGCUGUAAAUCACAAGAAAGCUGUUCCGAGUGCAUUGAGGGAUACUACAAUGGGAAUUUUUGCGAUCGCCAAUGUCCACCAAACUGCAAAAAUGUCAUAUGUGAUAAAUUGUCAGGAAAUUGUUCUUAUGGAUGUAUAACCGACGAGUUCAUAGGAUCCAAGUGCAAUGACUGUGUAACGGGAAAAUAUGGAACAUUUUGCAAAAAGUCGUGCCCAACAAAUUGUAAAGGCGAUAAAUGUAACGAAACGAAUGGGGUUUGUCUGAACGGUUGCAAAGAAAACUUUGCUAGAAAAACGUGUAGCGUAUGCCUUGCUGGUAAAUAUAGCUUGAACUGUGGUGUCAACUGUUCGCGCAACUGCGAGAAUCAAUUAUGUGAAUUCACUUCCGGAAAUUGCUUAAAAUGCAAGGACAAUUAUUUUGGCAAACAUUGCGAUAAAUGUAAAAUCGGUUACAAUGGAUCUGAGUGCAAUGGACAAUGCCCUCCAAACUGUCUUUAUGGCGUUUGCGACAGGGAAACUGGCUCUUGUUUAGCUGGUUGUAAAGACGGUUUCUCCGGCAACAAGUGUUGAUUGAACAAUAGCUACUGUAUCGAAUGUUCUUCUAACAUAAACUGUUCGCGAUGUUUAAGCGGUUUCUACUCGCACAACUGCCUUAGCCGUUGCCCAUGUGACGGAAAUCCAUGUGAGCAAAUUAAUGGAAAAUGUACAAUUGGAAAAGUAACUGACAGUGAAAAGACCUGUUCACCGUGUGAAAAAGUGGCGGACAGACGCAUGUUAGUUGGAUUCAGUAUCUCCACGGUGCUGUUACUUAUCUGUAUUGCUGUACUUGUCAUCAUUUUGCUUAGAAGGACCAGACCUUGUCAGAGGCUGUGGUCGGACUUCAUCCUCAGAGAAACCGUAUGAAGAUCUACAUGAAGAAAGAGAUGCCGGACGGGAGCACCAGUAUCUG
rnacentral:misc_RNA from 1 species